GAUGAAGAACGUAGCGAAAUGCGAUAAGUAAUGUGAAUUGCAGAAUUCAGUGAAUCAUCGAAUCUUUGAACUCACAUUGCGCCCCUUGGUAUUCCGAGGGGCAUGCCUGUUCGAGCGUCAUUAUAACCCCUCAAGCUCAGCUUGGUGUUGGGGCCUGCUGCACUGGCAGCCCUUAAAAUCAGUGGCGGCGCCAUCUGGCUCUAAGCGUAGUAAUUCUUCUCGCUAUGGAGUCCUGGUGGAUGCUUGCCAUCAACCCCCAAUUUUUCUAUGGUUGACCUCGGAUCAGGUAGGGAUACCCGCUGAACUUAAGCAUAUCAAUAAGCGGAGGA
rnacentral:misc_RNA from 1 species